AGUUUUUAUUCACUGGUUUUGGAGCUGUACGGUUGAACUCAAUAUCGAGUUUGGAGUUGCUCGUUGUGAGGUUCUCCGAUCGAGUAUUUUGGUCUUCGGAUUUCUUAUUAUCGACGAGGAUUAGUUUCGUCAAGAUUAUGAGAUGUGAUUGGAAAAUCGAAGCAUGCACUAAUCAUGUGGUUUAAAGGGAAUUCUGGGCGCGAGUUUAAAAAUUGUUAAAGUGAAUUAGGAUUAAUUUUGAUUUGUUGUUGUUUUGAUUCGUCGUUAUUGUUACUUUCACGUCUAAUUAUCAAUUUCGUGAUAGUAUCAUUGUAAGUCAAGCGGGUAGGCAAUCGUAGGUUCGGGUAGGCGAAAUUUAUGAAUAAGCGUUUUGUUGGAUGUUGGAAUGUGCGUGUGAAUGUUUCUUUCUAGUUUAUCGUAUUUAAUUUAGAUGUAUUUAUUUAGCCGGGGAAUGCCCCGAGACCACUUGUAUUUAUUCACAGGGGAAUGCCCCGACGUAUCAUGUUGGCGAAAAUGAUUGUGAUGAAGGCCCGCGGCGUCGGGUAGGGCAUUGGAGCUUAGAUUUAGUUUUAGACUAGGAUUUAUAUUUUCGUAUUUUUUUUCUAUUUUUCGGACUGUAUAAUUGGACUGGACUUUUACGUUUUUUGGACUGUUUCGUUUCGUUU